rnacentral:lncRNA from 1 species
GCCGCGGGGGCCAUUGAUACAGAGGCUUGCUGCGCUUGGUGUGCGCGGCCCGGCCGGGCCUCUGGAAACGCCCAUGAGAAAUGAGCUCAUGCUGGAUGCGCGCGCUCCUUGGGCGCAACUGCCCAGCGCAAAACGGGCCCCGAAAGCAGGGUCUCACUUUGUCCUCCAGGCUGGAGUGCUGCGGCCUCAACCUCCCAGGUUCAAGGGAUCCUGCUGCCUCAGCCCCCCAAGUAGCUAGGACUACAAGGGUGCACCACCACACCCAGCUAAUUUUUGUAUUUUUUGUAUAAAUGGGGUUUCGCCAUGUUGCCCAGACUGGUCUCAAACUCCUGGGCUCAAAAUCUGCGUGCCAUGGCUUCUCAAAACGCUAGGAUUACUGGCGUGAGUCACCAUGCCUGGCCUAUAAUUUGUUAAUAUGGUUGUUACUACAAAGUUUAAAAUAAAUUGCCCAUGCAUUCCUAUUUAUAAUAGGUGAGUGGAGGACACUUCAAUCUAAAGUGAUCUUAAAGGAGGAGUAGUAGGAUUUGAAGAUGAAGAAAGAAGAGGGGAGGUAAAUUACUUUCCAUCACUUCAAUUUCAACCCAUCAGAUAAAACCUCUCUUUAGUAAACCUGCAUGUGGGUGGAGCUGUAACAGCAAUUAAGGACAGUGUGACUCUGUUCUUCUGACUUUGGGAAAACCAGUUUGGCUGGAACAAAAAGCUGAUAGAGAAGACUAAUGGAAGAUAAGGUUGAAAAGGAAACGGGUCAUGAUCCAGACCCCAGGAGAGGGUUCUUGGAUCUCACACAAGAAAGAAUUCAGGGUGACCCCACAGUGCAAAAGUCAAAGCAAGUAUUAAGAAAAUGAAGGAAUAACAGAAUGGCUACUACAUAGAGCAGCCCUGAGGGCUGCUGGUUGCCCUUUUUUUUUUUUCCUUUGAGAUGGAGUUUUCGUUCUUGUUGCCCAGGCUGGAGUGCAAUGGCGUGAUCUCGGCUCACCACAACCUCCACCUCCCAGGUUCAAGCAAUUCUGCCUCAGCCUCCCGAGUAGCUGAGAUUACAGGCAUGCGCCACCACGCCCGGCUAAUUUUGUGUUUUUAGUAGAGUGAGGGUUUCUCCAUGUUGGUCAGGUUGGUCUUGAACUUCCGACCUCAGUUGAUCUGCCCGCCUUGGCCUCCCAAAGUACUGGGAUUACAGGCAUAAGCCACCGCACCUGGCCUGGUUGCCCAUUCUUUAUGGUCGUUUCUUGAUGAUAUGCUAACCAAGGAGUGGAUUAAUCAUGCCUCCCCUUUUUGGACCACAUAGGGUCUAAACUGUCAUGGCACAUUUGUAAACUGUCAUGGCACUGGUGGGAGUGUAGCAGUGAGGACGACCAGAGGUCACUCUCGUCGCCAUUUUGGUUUUGGUGGGUUUUGGCCAGCUCCUUUACUGCAACCUGUUUUAUCAGCAAGGUCUUUAAGACCUGUAUUUUGUGCUGACCUCCUAUCUCAUCCUGUGACUUAGAAUGCCUUAACUGACCAUCUGGGAAUGCAGCCCAAUAGAUUUCACCCUCAUUUUGCCCGGCUCCUGUUUAAGAUGGAGUUGCUCUGGUUCACAUGCCUCUAACAAAUCCUUUUAGUUUUUCAUGCUUGUCACAUGUUUACUUCUAAGGGUAUAAUCAUGUGGUUUACUAUAUUAUUACCGAUUAGAUUAUUUUGAACUACUUCAAUUUUAUUUAUUUUACCUCAUUUCCAUUCACAUUUUUUGAAAAGAGCUUUUUUAUACAAGAGUGUAAAUAUUUUCACAUUGAAUAAAU